UCACUGCUGAAGAGUCCCAUACUAGGACGAAACGGCCGUCCAGUGU
rnacentral:hammerhead_ribozyme from 1 species